AGUUAAGCUAGGCCAUUAGCCCAGCCCCUGUGAUGUAGCUUUGCUAUAUCAACCCCUGUAGGAACUAGAAUUUAUUAAAAGGUCUUUACUCUGCCUGCCACUGAGACGCUCCACAUGUUUGCUUCUCAGCCAUUUACUGACAAAAGCAUGUCUGGACAGGAUUUAUCCUUCAGCUCCCCAACUCCAGUUCCAGCAGUGGAAAAACUAUGCUGGGAGGAAGAUAAGGAGUGCCACUGCCCAGACUGCAAACAAGAGAUAAAGCCUCUCCACAUGUUUGCUUCUCAGCCAUUUACUGACAAAAGCAUGUCUGGACAGGAUUUAUCCUUCAGCUCCCCAACUCCAGCUCCAGCAGUGGAAAAACUGUGCUGGGAGGAAGACAAGGAGUGCCACUGCCCAGACUGCAAACCAAAAGAAAAGCCAGGUGAAAACAUCAGUCCACGGCAAGACAGUUCCAUGUGGAAAAACAUCAAAUGCCCUUUCCUGGCACAACUACUGAAACCACUGCCAGAGAAUCAAAGAAGAAAGGACAAGAAAAAUAUAAGAUGCUAUGUCUGUGGUGUCUGUGGACAUAAAGCUCGUCACUGCUGGAGCUUAAACAUGUAACAAUGUGACUGUUAGGAGCCUGAUGGAGGAAGACCUGCCAUUAGGGGAGACUAAAGCAGCAGUUUGUGUGUGCACUUAUGUUUGUUGUUGGUUUAAAUAAAAAGUUUGAAACUGA